AAUCAACGCUGGCGGCGUGCCUAACACAAGCAAGUCGAACGAGAAAGUGGAGCAAUCCAUGAGUAAAGUGGCGCACGGGUGAGUAACACGUGACUAACCUACCCUUGAGUGGGGGAUAACCUAGGGAAACCUGGGCUAAUACCGCAUAAUACCUACGGGUCAAAGGAGCAAUUCGCUUUAGGAGGGGGUCGCGGCAGAUUAGUUAGUUGGCGGGGUAAUGGCCCACCAAGACGAUGAUCNGUAUCCGGCCUGAGAGGGCGCACGGACACACUGGAACUGAAACACGGUCCAGACUCCUACGGGAGGCAGCAGUGGGAAUUUUGCGCAAUGGGGAAACCCUGACGCAGCAACGCCGCGUGGAGGAU
rnacentral:rRNA from 1 species